GAUAAUAAUAUCAGAGUGCAAUGUUUACCACCAGGAGAAGCUUUCAAACUGUUCGAGGAGAAGGUUGGCUCAGAGACCCUUCAAAUGCAUCCAGAUAUUUGCAAGUUAGCUGAAGCGGUGGUUGAAGAGUGUGCAGGACUACCUCUCGCUCUCAUUACAAUUGGGCGGGCCAUGGCAUCCAAGAAGACUCCUCACGAAUGGAAAUAUGCUAUUGAAGUUUUAAGGCAAUCAACAGCUUCUGUGUUCCCAGGGGUAGGGAAAGAGAUGUUUCCCAAGUUAAAAUUCAGUUAUGACUAUUUAACGAGUGAAAGAGUCAAAUCUUGUUUCUUGUAUUGUUCUUUAUAUCCAGAAGAUUAUAGCAUCCCAAAAGAGGAACUAGUAGAUUGUUGGAUCGGGGAAGGACUUUUGGACAAGCAUACCAAUUUGAGCAGUGCCAGAAACCAGGGACUUUUCAUUAUAGGUUCUCUUAUUUACGUAGGCUUAUUGGAGAAAGAAGGUAAUCUCUUUGUAAAGAUGCACAAUGUGAUUCGUGACAUGACUUUGUGGAUUGCUGGUGAAUCUGAGAAGAAGUUUUUUGUAAAAUCGGGUGUUCAGUUAAAGGAACAACCAAAAGCUAAAAAGUGGGAAGAGGUAACAAGAAUGUUGCUGAUGGAGAAUCAAAUUGAAAAUCUAACUGAGAUAUUGGAAUGUCCCAAUCUCCAAACUUUGUUUCUUAGGAGUAAUCAUUUGAAGGUAAUCAUCAAUGAUUUCUUUAAUUUCAUGCCGAUGCUAAGGGUUCUGGACUUGUCUAGAAAUAUGAAUUUGGAAGAAUUGCCGGUAGGAAUUGCAAAGUUGGUUUCACUAGAACAUCUCAAUUUGUCACGGACAAGAAUAAAAAAGUUGCCAGUUGAAUUGAAGGCCCUAGCAAAGCUGAAAUAUUUGAAAUUGGAGAAAACAAGCAGGCUGAGUAUGAUCCCUCAACAACUGAUAUCCAGUUUCUCCAAGUUGCAAGUACUGAAAAUGGUGGGUUGUGGUUAUAGAUGUUCGUUGGUUUUGGAGGAAAUGGAGCAUUUAAAAUAUUUGAAUGUAGUAACCAUUACUUUUAGAAGCGCUUCAGAGUUGGAAAAAGCUUCGAGGUUCAACAAGUUCUUAAGCUUUACCUUUGAAUAUGUAAGCCUUGAAGAUUUCAUGGAUUCAAGAUCAUUGAAUAUGUUGGCUUUAGCUAAUGUGCCACAUCUACAGAGUUUAUCAUUUUCUUUUUGUAUGUAUCUGGAAGAAGUGAAGAUUGAAAGCAACAUAAUUGAAGGUGUGGGACGCUUCCAUAGCCUUCAAUUUGUAAGCCUAUGUUAUUGCACUCGAUUGAAGGAUGUGAGUUGGAUAAUUUUUGCUCCAAAUUUGUUAGGACUAUUUAUAAUCAGCUGCCAAGGUUUAGAAGAAAUUAUCGACGAGGAAAAACUUGAUGAAGUCACUAAGUCCAAGGCAGAUGGUAACUUAUUUUCUAAACUUGAGGUUUUUUAUCUAAAAGAUUUGCCCGAAAUGAAAACAAUAUACCGCCAUGCUCUGCCUUUCCCGCAACUGGAGGAAAUCAAAAUUCUAGAAUGCCCAGUGUUGAAGAAGCUCCCUUUAAACUCCAAUAGUGCAAAAGGACAAAGGCUCGUCAUUGGAGGAGAGGAGGGAUGGUGGAAAGAUGUAGAAUGGGAGGAUGAAUCCACUCGAGUUGCUUUUCUCCCUUCUUUCAAACCUGAGGUGGAAUGGUGGAAAGAUGUAGAAUGGGAGGAUGAAUCCAGUCGAAUUGCUUUUCUCUCUUCUUUCAAACCUGGUCUAUUCUAAUAAAUGUUGGACAUUAAUUAACGCCUAAAACCUUGAUUGUAUCAUAAUAUACCUCAUUGUAAGUUCUAUUGUGCCUAUCCCUAGAUUACAUGUAGCUUGGUUCUUUGUUUUACACAGACUUUUUUCUUUAGUAUGAUUUUGAAAAUAUAUUAUGUUAAUGAAUUUAAAUUUGAAGUAUAACUUUCAACCCAUCAUAUCAUUUUCUUUUAAUUUUAUAACUAAAAAUUUCCAUAAUUAUAGUAAAAUUAAAAUUUUCUUAUAAAUGUUGUUUUAGUUUGUAUUUCUGUAUAUUUAAAUAUGAAAUUUUUUAUAGGAGAGAAAAAUAUGUUAAGUAUAAAUUCUGAAUUUUAAAAAAUUAAAAAUUUAAGUUUUAAUAAGUUAAUAAAAUAUAAUUUAUUUUCAUUUAUUAUACAUGUUAUCAAUAAAAAAACUUAUUAGAUACUAAAUAUUGAUAAUUAUAUUAUAAUAAAAUAACGGUGACAUAAUAUAAAUUUUAAUAUUUUUAUAUUAAAACUCAUUAAUACAAAUUAUUAACAUUUUAAAAUUGUUUAUGAUUGUAGAAUCUGAGAUCAUGCAAGUACAAAUAUUAACAAUGAUGUUUCAAUGUGUUUCAAUGUUGAAAUAUGGUUAUAUGAUUAGAUUAGGGUGUUUCAAAUUUAAAUAUAUAUAAUAAAAAAAUUAUUAUUAUAAAAAUUAUUUACUGAUUAUUUUUUUAAUAUUUUAAUAAUAAAAAAAUUAUUAUUAUACAAAUUAUUAUUAAAAAAUUAUUAAAAACCAACUUAAUCAUUGUUUCGAUAUCAUAUAUGAGCUCAGCUUAAUUUGUGAACAUCUUUACUCAAACACGAUUAUUAAAAGUGAGAUUAUGUAUAUGAAUUCUCUAUAAUUAUAGACUCAUAAACAAGUUAUUGUAAUUAAUAUUCAAAUGGCAAUCUCUGAAUUUAAUAAGUUACAGCAAACUGAUUAGUUAAAUGUUUGAUGAGUAUAGUUAUUAGACAUCUCCUUCUCCCACUUCCUUUGCAUUUUGAAUUUAGCCCCUCUUGUAACACUAAAAUAACAUUAACAGAGAAAGAUUAUGUAUAGAGGUAAGAAUACUAUGCCUAAUUUCAACUUGAUUUUGUAAUAUUUCCAUCAAAUAAUUUAUGCGCCUUUAUCAUAGUGUUAUAAUUAAGAGUGUGUGUCCACUUCUGCGGAUUCUCGUGUGGUGUGUUAAUAAUUUUGAGAAAUACUCGGUACUAAGUGAGUAUAAGCUGAUGAAAAAGCGAAAUCUUAUUUCGUGUAUUGUUAUUUAUAUCCAGAAAAUGAUCUCAUUAAAAAAGAUGCACUAAUGUAUUAUAGGUAAUCAGUAUCAGAAAUGUUAUCACUAUAAUUUUUGGGUACUAAAAUCAUGAGAAAAAAUCGAAUAUUAAAUGAUAUAUUAGCUUUAAAAUUUUAGAAACAAAAUUUUUAAUUAAAUAAAAUAUAAAACCACUUAAAUGAAUACAAUAUACUACCAUGCUCUGCCUUUCCCACGGCUGAAGAAAAUAUCAAUUGUAAAAUGCCCAAUGCUGAAGAAACUCCCACUAAACUCCAAUACUGCAAAAGGACAGAGGCUCAUCAUUAAAGGAGAGUGGGUGGUGUAAAGAUGUAGAAUGGGAGGAUGAAUCCACUCGAACUGCUUUUCUCCCCUCUUUCAAACCUCUGUAAUCUAUGAAAUGUUGGAUAUUAAUUAAGGCUUAAAGCCAUUAUUGUAUCAUAGCAUACCUCACUGUAAGUUCUAUUUUGCAUACCUUUAAAUUACAUGUAAUUUAUAAUAAAAUGUUUGAUUUGAGAGUAUAUCAUGUUGGUUUUCUCUAUUUUUGCUUCUCCCAAAGAGCAGAGCUCAAAUAUUACCUUAUUUCAUUAUGAUGGUUCUGCUUCAAACUUACCUUUUCGAAAGGAGCUGAUGCAUUUAUGGAAGGACUUGAAGUCUUUGUGUCUUGUAUAAUUCGACCAUGUGAAAUUUCACCUGAGUAAGAUAAAACAAAGGAAUUGUCUCAUCUAUAAAUCAAACUUGAAAUGAUAUUCACAUCUGUCAGUAGAUAACAUAAUUUCUUUCCCCUUCGUCAGACCACAUGCCAUAAUUCAGAAACAUAACCAUCGUAGUUACCUUUGUUAACAGGUUCCUCUGUCAAUCCAGUAGACUGCAUUUCUAAUAUACAGACUUCAGGCUUCAUUUAUCAAUAAGUUAGAAGGAUUAUCAAAGAAAGGCUAAAAGACAAAGAAGGCAUGCAAAGAUUUAAUCACUUACAGCAAACUGGUUAGUUAAAUACUGAUGCUUAUAUUUAUUGGACAUCUCUUCAAUUGGUUCUUUGCCUUCGGACUGCUGUUGUUGUUUCCUUCACUCAGACUCAUACACCUAUUUCAUAAGUGACACAUUCAACAUACAUUUGUAUUAGCUGGUAAAAAGCACCAAGUCCCAACAUUACCUCUCAAUAUCUUCGAACAUGAUCAAGAUAACUGUAACCUUCAUGUUUUUUUCUAUGAAAACCAGCUUUAGUCAGCUCAUCUUCAUCACCAUCACUUUCAGCAGGUUUACUCAACUCAUCUUCAGCUGAAGUUCUUCUUUCUCAAGUUCUUUCCAACCUUGACAUUAUACUGCCAUGCUCUGCCUUUCCCACAGCUGAAGGAAAUAUCAAUUGUAGAAUGCCCAAUGCUGAAGAAGCUCCCACUAAACUCCGAUACUGAAAAAGGACAAACGCUCAUCAUUUUAGAAGAUGAGUAGUGGUGGAAAAAUGUAGAAUGAGAAGAUGAAUCCACUCAAAUUGCUUUUCUCCUUUUUUUCAUACCUCUGUAAACUACAAAUGCUGUCUAUUUUGUUGUCAAAUAACGAUAGUUAUUCAAAUAACAAGUAGGAUUUUAAUGUCAUAUAUGUAUCAUUAAACUUAUGGUCUUGGAUUUAGUUGCCUUCGUCUUCCAAUGCUGUCUCUUGUGUUUCCUUUUCUGAUCAUUGUUUAAGUGGCAAUAAUGGUGCUUGUAUGAAUGCUAGUGAUUCAGUGCUAUCAGUAAGUGUGCAAAGCUUUUUUUGGAACUCUAGCUUCCAUUUGGAUAACAAAAAAGUCCAAGGCUGUACUUCUCUUUACAUUCCUAGAACAGGGAUUUCAUUUGCUGAUGAAUUGCUAGGAAGGUGGCAGAGUAAUGUUAGAUGUUACUACCUAACAUCUUACACAUGCUGCUAUUAGUAUUCCUUUUUCUUUUUUUUUCGAUGGGAUCUUAGUUCUCCCCAAUAAUGCAAGUUGCCAAUGAGGGGAGUGGUUUCCACACAAAGGACAAGAAUUUUCUUUCAUCUGUCAUAACUCUCAGCAUGCCAAAUUGGAAUUCAGACUUUAGAAUAAAAUUCAGGUUUUAAAAUUGCAGAUUCACUGGUUGAUUGCAAGUUGCCAAUGAGGGGAAUGGUUUGCACACAAAAGACAAGAUCCUUUUAUCUGUCAUAAAAAUUAGCAUGUCAAAUUGGACAUACUGUCCACCCAUAAUGCCCUGCCCAAAGCUACCGAAGAAAGUGGAACCCUUGAAAGAGAAAGAGAGAUGUAGGUCCAACCUGUGAAUUCCUUUAUUGGAUCAUGCCACUAAAAAAUAUUCAUUUUAUUAACAAAAUCAUAAAAACUUUAAACUUUAUAAUAUUAUAAAAUUUAAGUAUCAAAAUAUAUAGCUUUUCUAAAAUACAGCUAUCACAUUAAAAAAAAUUAUCAUAUCAAAUAAUAUAUUAAGCAUUUCAAUAAUUAUUAACUUUAAAAUUUUAGAAACAAAAUAUUUUAAUUAAAUAAAAUAUAAAACCACUUAAAUUUAAUACAAUAUAUAAUUAUUUAUUAUUAUUUUAAAUACUUGUAUAUAUAGUUUUUUUUAAUUUAAAACAGUUAUGGAAAAAAGAUUUUAUUGAAAACAUAUUUAUAAAUUUAAUUUAAUUUAAUUUUUUUAAAAACAUAGUAAUUUAAUUUUAAUUUUGAAUAGUUUUAAAUUUAUAUACAUUUUUUAAUUAACAAAUUGUAAUAUAUUUUUAGCAUAAUUUAAACACUUUGUACAUAUUUAUGUAAAAUUUUAAAAAUUUUUGAUUAUUUUAUAUUUUUAUUAUUUUUUGGUACCAAAAUACAUGUGAACUUCCAACGAUUUGUCUUUGUUUACCUGCGGAUUUUCUCUCUCUCUUUUUGUUUACGAAAAUAUUCUCAAUCUUUCAUAUAGCUCUAUAAGCUUCUUUGAUUUAUUCCUUACUUCUAUUUCCAGCAAUUGUUCAGCUCACUCUUCUAAAAUCAAAAACAGGUAUGGGUAAUAUCUUCUCAAUCUCACUUUCACUCGAUACCAUCAUUACCCGUUGUUGGGAUUCUGCUUUUCUAUGCAAACUUGAAAAAAACCUCCCUGCUUUAAAAACUGAAGUGGAAGAUUUGAAGGCGACCAGGAGGGAUCUGAUGAGCAGGGUCAGGGUCGCUGAAGAUGAGAAGCAACUUAAGCGGCUACCCCAAGUUGAUCUUUGGCUUCAGAGGGCUGAUCGUGUGAUAACCGAUGCUGAUAAACUGAUUGUCCAAAGUCCUCAGCAUGUUGAAAAGUUAUGUAUGGGAGGUUGUUGUUCCAGGCAUCCCAGGUCCACCCACAAGUUCGGGAAGCAAAUCGCCACAAUACUCCAAGAGGUGAAAGGCCUGAAGGAGAAAGGAGAUUUCAGUGACGUGGCCUGCAAGCCACCAAUUCCUUCCGCAAAUAAACGACCUUCUGAUCCAACUGUGGGUUUAGAGUCGUAUGUCAAUCAGGUUUGGAGCUGUCUUCAAAAGGAACAAGUGGGAAUUAUUGGCAUAUAUGGCUUAGGAGGGGUUGGCAAGACAACCCUCCUAAACCAAAUCAAUAACAAAUUCCAUGAUACUACCCAUGAUUACCAUGUAAUUUGGGCAGUUGCAUCGCAAGAUCGGCCAAUUGAGAGAGUCCAGGAUGAGAUUGCCAAAAGAAUAGGCCUCUCUAAUGAAGGUUGGAAAUCUAUUGAAGAGAAAGCCGCAGACAUCUUCAACGUCUUACGUAAAAAGAAGUUUGCAUUGUUGUUGGAUGAUAUAUGGGAAUGGUUUGAUCUCACAAGAGCUGGGGUACCUCUUCCAACACAAGGAAAUGGCUCUAAAGUCAUUUUCACAACUCGUCGUCGUGAUGUGUGCUGUCAAAUGCAACCGAACAUGGAUAAUAAUAUCAGAGUGGAAUGUUUACCACCAGGAGAAGCUUUCAAACUGUUCGAGGAGAAGGUUGGAUCAGAGACCCUUCAAAUGCAUCCAGAUAUUUGCAAGUUAGCUGAAGCGGUGGUUGAAGAGUGUGCAGGACUACCUCUCGCUCUCAUUACAAUUGGGCGGGCCAUGGCAUCCAAGAAGACUCCUCACGAAUGGAAAUAUGCUAUUGAAGUUUUAAGGCAAUCAACAGCUUCUGUGUUCCCAGGGGUAGGGAAAGAGAUGUUUCCCAAGUUAAAAUUCAGU
rnacentral:lncRNA from 1 species